rnacentral:sRNA from 1 species
AUGUACAACAACGUACAUUCCGGUUUCUGCGCUCCGGCCGCGCCCCGCUACGGCCCGCUCGCUACGAUUUCUUCACA